AAGAAUAUCAAAUUAUCUAUAAAAGUUAAACUUCAUAUAAAAACGUAAAAUUUAGUAUUAAAUAGGAAUGCUGUAAAAAAUAUUUAGCCUCAUGAAUAGUGAAAUAUCGUUUGAGUAUCCAGAGCCCAAGCCAAGUGGCAAUUAUGUGAUAUCAUCUUUGGAUUUGCAUGAUGGAACCUUUCUUUUUUCUUACGUUUCAGCGUUUUUGGCAUAUGUCACACCUCAAGAACUGCCAGUAGUCUAUUGUAUUUUAGAAAUUUUACGCGAUGCCAUCCACGCAAAAGUUUCGAUCCUGCGACUUGUGCUCGAGGCUCUCAAAGUGGAAUCUGGUUUUAUAUGUUUGAUGGUUCUGUUUUUCAUGAUUUCAUUGAUUCCAUUAGGCUAUAUAAUUGCAUGGGGCUGUGCAAAGACAAAUGACAAGGAAGAGAGAAAUAAUGAAAGUAACGACCAUAACGGCAUGGAUAAUUUAGUGCCUACGGAAAAUACGAUGCUUACAUCUUUAGAAUGUCGUCGAAAGUGCUUAGUUAUCACAUUACAAAUAAUUUUGGUGUUUUUUGUAUUGUGUGUCAUUAUCAUGUUUGUAACGAACGAACAAGCAUCAUCAGCAAUCGACAAGACACCCCUGCUGAUACGGUCAGCCUUGAAGGAUUCCGAAACAUUUUUAAAGGAUAUUCAUCAUCAAGCAAUUUUUACAAUUUAUGAAGGACUAAAUACAGUUAAUGACAGAAUAAAAAUUGAUCUAGAAGAUAUUGAUAAAUUGUUGGGAGAUCCAAUUCAACACAAGUUGCUGGAAGACACGGAUUUAGAUGGAAUUUUUGAAUCAUUGUUGGAUAUUUGUACAAGCAGUAAUAAUUUAUCACAUCGGAUAUAUCUGCUACAAGACACGCUAAACCGUGCCACAGCAAUUGUUUCUGAAGCCGAAAGUCGUUUGGAUGAGAUAUCAAUACAAUUAUCGGUUCUCCAGAAACAGUGUACAUAUCGUGAUCGACCUUUGUGCGACACAAUUCAUAUUAAAAACAUGGACGAAAGCGGGUUAAACCUUAAAUUUAAAAAGUUGCGCAACGACGUCUUGCUGAAUAAACUCAAAUUGAUGGGAGACAUGACCAACGAGAGCAUAUUGAAAAAUUUCACAGCGGAAAUCAAGCAUGCAAAAUCUGCUUUUAAAAUGUAUCCACAACGCGUCGCUCAGGAGACAGCAAAUUACAAAGAAGAAACCUUGAAUGAAAUUAUUGCAAUGAGAGAUACAGUUCAUUCACAAACGCGUGUUUUUACAUCAACUAUUCGGUCACUCGUGGAUCGAAUCGAUCAUACAUGGGGUUAUGCCGAGCCCUUUUUGGACGAAUUGAGCAAAGCUGGAUUUAUUCUGUGGAUUGUGGGAUUGACAGCAUGUUCCCUCGCAUUAGCUGUGACACUUUUGUACAUUCUAGCUCUCAGCUGUGAUUGUUGUCAUGCGAAAAGUAAAGCCCGAAUCACGUUAAUCAUAAGCGCAAUAUUUACCUCGAUCGCUGCCAUUUUUUUGACAAUUUUUCUCAUUUUCGAAAUGAUUGUUGGUGGACAUACAGAGCUGUUUGUUUGUCGUUCCUUUUACGAAGCUCCUAAUUAUACAAUUUUAAGUAAACUAAUUGACAAGCCUGGUUUGAUAUUUGCUACGGAGCCGGCGAAUGGUAUCCUGGGCGAACUCAUUAAGUCUCCCGAAUACACGUAUACACAAGCAGCUGUUAAUGUGUCAAUCAGUCAAGCAUUGAACGAAUGUGAAAAGGGAAAAUCGGCAUACGCUACAUUCGAUUUGGAUUCGUUAUUAAAUAUCAGCACCUCAUUAGACUUUCGAAACUAUGACUCGUUGAACAAUGCAAUAUCGAAGAUUGUUGCCUCAGAGGCGGAAUUUUUAAGUAUCACACAAACGCUGCAGAAGUAUUUGCACGAAAUGAUGAUUGAUUCUGAAGUAAAUUUAACAUAUCAUCGCAUGGAAUUGGUCCAAUUAACGCCGGAAAAGGAUAUGAUUACAUUUAUCGAUCAAAUGCAACGUGUUUCUUUGCAGAUACAAGAUAUGGCAACUGCUGCCAGAAUGACCACAUUGGGAGGUCGAGCAAGGCGAUUGCAAACUUCCUUAUUGAAACCACUGGAAAAUUUACGUUCUGAAAUAGUUUAUCAUCUGACUGCUCUGGAGUUACAAAUUAAACCGUGGGCACAACAGGUGAACAAGAGUCUCAAUCAACUUAAAACGGCGCAGAUUUAUCUUGAUGGUCAAACCACAAAUAUUUGUAUGGAUGCUUCCGAGACUUACCAAAACAGAUUAAAGAGACAUUUGAAAUUUUAUCGCAACCAUACAAUGAAUAUUAUUGAUGGACAGAGUGGAUCAUGCCGCCCAAUGUUUGAUAUUUUUGAUGCAAUCAGACAAUUAUUUUGUCGUCACAUAGUUGAUCCUAUAAACGGUUUAUGGUUUUCUUCGUUUAUUUUUAUUGUUCUUCUGGCUAUCUCGACUCCAGUGUCUCUGGUAUUAUCAACAGUUUUCAAAAACAUUCACAUUCUCGAUAAAAGACUCAAGAGAACUUCUUCGUCUUAUGUGGGAACUGAUGACCAAAUCGUCAUAUCACAACAAAGUAAUUGGGGAACACGUUCCAAUAUCGCUGCCGAUAUUGAUAGGUCAAAUUGGUGAUUCAUCAUUAAAAACAUCAUCAUUAUCACAGUAUGAUAAUUCUCAUCAUUGUGCAUUAAAUGUUAAAAGCCUAGAUACUAACGACAUUUCACUUGUACGACGAGGACCCGAUCAAGACGGAGAGAUAGUUCAAAUAAUUUUUGAUGAUGAAGAUUCAACUGAGCCACGAGAAG